GACGAACGCUGGCGGCGUGCCUAAUACAUGCAAGUCGAGCGAAUUUACGAGAGUUUGCUCUCGUAAAUUAGCGGCGGACGGGUGAGUAACACGUGGGCAACCUGCCUAUAAGACUGGGAUAACUUCGGGAAACCGGAGCUAAUACCGGAUAAUUCACAUCUACUCAUGUAGAUGUGCUGAAAGACGGUUUACGCUGUCACUUAUAGAUGGGCCCGCGGCGCAUAGCUAGUUGGUGAGGUAACGGCUCACCAAGGCCACGAUGCGUAGCCGACCUGAGAGGGUGAUCGGCCACACUGGGACUGAGACACGGCCCAGACUCCUACGGGAGGCAGCAGUGGGGAAUCUUGCGCAAUGGGCGAAAGCCUGACGCAGCGACGCCGCGUGAGGGAUGAC
rnacentral:rRNA from 1 species